rnacentral:rRNA from 1 species
GACGGAAGGUGCAAGCGUUGCUCGGAAUCACUGGGCGUAAAGGGUGCGUAGGCGGCCGCGCAAGUCUGGCGUGAAAGCCCCGGGCUCAGCCCGGGAAGGGCGCUCGAAACGGCGCGGCUCGAGUGCCGGAGGGGGGAGUGGAAUUCCUGGUGUAGCGGUGAAAUGCGUAGAUAUCGGAAGGAACAUCAGUGGCGAAAGCGACUUCCUGGACCAGUACCGACGUUCAGGCACGAAAGCGUGGGGAGCAAACAGG